AAAUGAAUUGACGGGGACCCGCACAAGCGGUGGAGUAUGUUGUUUAAUUCGAUGCUACGCGAGAAACCUUACCGACCCUUGACAUCCCGGUCGCGAUUUCCAGAGAUGGAUUUCUUCAAUUCGGUUGGACCGGUGACAGAUGCUGCAUGGCUGUCGUCAGCUCGUGUCGUGAGAUGUUAGGUUAAGUCCUGCAACGAGCGCAACCCACACCCUUUGUUGCCAGCGGGUAAUGCCGGGCACUCUUGGGGAACUGCCCGCGUCAAGCGGGAGGAAGGCGUGGAUGACGUCAAGUCAUCAUGGUUCUUACGGGUCGGGCUACAAACGUACUACAAUGGUGAUAACAAUGGGUCGCAAUGCCGCAAGGCAAAGCCAAUCCUUAAAUAUUGCCCCAGUUCAGAUUGCCCUCUGCAACUCGAGGACAUGAAGUCGGAAUCGCUAGUAAUCGCUGAUCAGAAUGCAGCGGUGAAUUCGUUCCCGGGUCUUGUACACACCGCCCGU
rnacentral:rRNA from 1 species